GGUGAAUAUAAAAAUCUCAGAUAAUAACGAUUUUCAUUUGCACACAAAAUAACUUGAAGCUAGUUUUAGUUUCCCUGACACUGAUUUUUCUCUGUCUUCCUAGGGUUACCUUGGUGGAAGCCAACAAUCUUCUCCAGUUGGAGGAGUUGGAUGGUCGACCACUGAAAGCACUGACGCCCUACACUUCAGUGAUGCCCAGUAGAUCUAUCACUCCAGUGUUAAUACUAAAUUGACCAUCGACUGGCCAAGCCCCCCAGGAGGUAACCCAUCCACCAGAACCAGUGAGUUCGGAUCAGUCUGAUUCUCUGUGCUCUGAGUCGGACGGGGUCCAGCUUGAGGAGCUAGGGGUUCUGCCCAACACCCAGAUGUGGAUCCACCUGAUGUCCUCCUUUACUAACCACCCUCCAACUUUUCAUUACAUCAUCUACAGCUACUGUUAUUGUCAUGUUGUCAUUAUCUGCUAAGAACGUUUUUUUGCUCCAUCAUACUGUGCACAUAAUAUGUGAGAUACACUGAUUAACUAAAAACACUAGUACUGUAAACACUCAGAACAAAGAGAGCAGCAGUGCCUGGACUUUGCAGUCUCCCUCUUCCAAGUCCCCCUUCCGAGACUGGCUGCCUGUUGAGAACAAGUGACAGGCAGA